rnacentral:ncRNA from 1 species
GCUUGCGAAGAUGAAAACACGGCCCGGUUGGUAGUCCGGGCGCGAAGGUGCAGGCGCGGGUGCGUGCGUCGGCGGCUUCGUCAGUAACCUGCCUCCUUGGUUGUCCGUUCUUCGUGGUACACCA